GGUCAAGUGAAGAAGCGCAUACGGUGGAUGCCUUGGCAGUCAGAGGCGAUGAAAGACGUGGUAGCCUGCGAAAAGCUUCGGGGAGUCGGCAAACAGGCUGUGAUCCGGAGAUGUCUGAAUGGGGGAACCCAGCCAUCAUAAGAUGGUUAUCACACACUGAAUACAUAGGUGUGUGAGGCGAACCAGGGGAACUGAAACAUCUAAGUACCCUGAGGAAAAGAAAUCAACCGAGAUUCCCUUAGUAGUGGCGAGCGAACGGGGACUAGCCCUUAAGUUGAUUUGAGAUUAGCGGAACGCUCUGGAAAGUGCGGCCAUAGUGGGUGAUAGCCCUGUACGCGAAAAUCUCUUAUCAAUGAAAUCGAGUAGGACGGAGCACGAGAAACUUUGUCUGAAUAUGGGGGGACCAUCCUCCAAGGCUAAAUACUACUGACUGACCGAUAGUGAACCAGUACCGUGAGGGAAAGGCGAAAAGAACCCCGGAGAGGGGAGUGAAAUAGAACCUGAAACCGUAUGCGUACAAGCAGUGGGAGCCUACUUUGUUAGGUGACUGCGUACCUUUUGUAUAAUGGGUCAGCGACUUAUUUUCAGUGGCGAGCUUAACCGAAUAGGGGAGGCGUAGCGAAAGCGAGUCUUAAUAGGGCGUCUAGUCGCUGGGAAUAGACCCGAAACCGGGCGAUCUAUCCAUGGGCAGGUUGAAGGUUAGGUAACACUGACUGGAGGACCGAACCGACUACCGUUGAAAAGUUAGCGGAUGACCUGUGGAUCGGAGUGAAAGGCUAAUCAAGCUCGGAGAUAGCUGGUUCUCCUCGAAAGCUAUUUAGGUAGCGCCUCGUGUAUCACUGCUGGGGGUAGAGCACUGUUUCGGCUAGGGGGUCAUCCCGACUUACCAAACCGAUGCAAACUCCGAAUACCAGCAAGUGUCAGCACGGGAGACACACGGCGGGUGCUAACGUCCGUCGUGAAAAGGGAAACAACCCAGACCGUCAGCUAAGGUCCCAAAAUCCUGGUUAAGUGGGAAACGAUGUGGGAAGGCUUAGACAGCUAGGAGGUUGGCUUAGAAGCAGCCAUCCUUUAAAGAAAGCGUAAUAGCUCACUAGUCGAGUCGGCCUGCGCGGAAGAUGUAACGGGGCUCAAACCAGGUACCGAAGCUACGGGUUCAACGCAAGUUGAGCGGUAGAGGAGCGUUCUGUAAGCCUGUGAAGGUCAGUUGAGAAGCUGGCUGGAGGUAUCAGAAGUGCGAAUGCUGACAUGAGUAACGACAAUGCGAGUGAAAAACUCGCACGCCGAAAGACCAAGGGUUCCUGCGCAACGUUAAUCGACGCAGGGUGAGUCGGUCCCUAAGGCGAGGCUGAAGAGCGUAGUCGAUGGGAAACGGGUUAAUAUUCCCGUACUUCUAGUUACUGCGAUGGGGGGACGGAGAAGGCUAGGCCAGCAAGGCGUUGGUUGUCCUUGUUUAAGGUGGUAGGCAGAGAUCUUAGGUAAAUCCGGGGUCUUAAUGCCGAGAGCUGAUGACGAGCUUUCUUUUAGAAAGCGAAGUGGUUGAUGCCAUGCUUCCAGGAAAAGCCUCUAAGCUUCAGGUAACUAGGAACCGUACCCCAAACCGACACAGGUGGUUGGGUAGAGAAUACCAAGGCGCUUGAGAGAACUCGGGUGAAGGAACUAGGCAAAAUGGCACCGUAACUUCGGGAGAAGGUGCGCCGGUGAGGGUGAAGUAUUUACUACGUAAGCCCAUGCCGGUCGAAGAUACCAGGCCGCUGCGACUGUUUAUUAAAAACACAGCACUCUGCAAACACGAAAGUGGACGUAUAGGGUGUGACGCCUGCCCGGUGCCGGAAGGUUAAUUGAUGGGGUUAGCGCAAGCGAAGCUCUUGAUCGAAGCCCCGGUAAACGGCGGCCGUAACUAUAACGGUCCUAAGGUAGCGAAAUUCCUUGUCGGGUAAGUUCCGACCUGCACGAAUGGCGUAACGAUGGCGGCGCUGUCUCCACCCGAGACUCAGUGAAAUUGAAAUCGCUGUGAAGAUGCAGUGUAUCCGCGGCUAGACGGAAAGACCCCGUGAACCUUUACUAUAGCUUUGCACUGGACUUUGAAUUUGCUUGUGUAGGAUAGGUGGGAGGCUUUGAAGCGUGGACGCCAGUUCGCGUGGAGCCAUCCUUGAAAUACCACCCUGGCAACUUUGAGGUUCUAACUCUGGUCCGUUAUCCGGAUCGAGGACAGUGUAUGGUGGGUAGUUUGACUGGGGCGGUCUCCUCCUAAAGAGUAACGGAGGAGUACGAAGGUGCGCUCAGACCGGUCGGAAAUCGGUCGUAGAGUAUAAAGGCAAAAGCGCGCUUGACUGCGAGACAGACACGUCGAGCAGGUACGAAAGUAGGUCUUAGUGAUCCGGUGGUUCUGUAUGGAAGGGCCAUCGCUCAACGGAUAAAAGGUACUCCGGGGAUAACAGGCUGAUACCGCCCAAGAGUUCAUAUCGACGGCGGUGUUUGGCACCUCGAUGUCGGCUCAUCACAUCCUGGGGCUGAAGCCGGUCCCAAGGGUAUGGCUGUUCGCCAUUUAAAGUGGUACGCGAGCUGGGUUUAGAACGUCGUGAGACAGUUCGGUCCCUAUCUGCCGUGGACGUUUGAGAUUUGAGAGGGGCUGCUCCUAGUACGAGAGGACCGGAGUGGACGAACCUCUGGUGUUCCGGUUGUCACGCCAGUGGCAUUGCCGGGUAGCUACGUUCGGAAGAGAUAACCGCUGAAAGCAUCUAAGCGGGAAACUUGCCUCAAGAUGAGAUCUCACUGGAGCCUUGAGCUCCCUGAAGGGCCGUCGAAGACUACGACGUUGAUAGGUGGGGUGUGUAAGCGCUGUGAGGCGUUGAGCUAACCCAUACUAAUUGCCCGUGAGGCUUGACCAU
rnacentral:rRNA from 1 species